UUACGGCCACAUUACGUUGGAACACCGGUUCCCGUACGAUCACUGUAGUUAAGUAACGUCGAGCCUGGUCAGUGCUUAGAUGGGUGACCGCUGGGGAAUACCAGGUGCUGUAAG